AUUGAACGCUGGCGGCAGGCCUAACACAUGCAAGUCGAACGAGUGGCGGACGGGUGAGUAAUGUCUGGGAAACUGCCCGAUGGAGGGGGAUAACUACUGGAAACGGUAGCUAAUACCGCAUACACUCGGAUGUGCCCCGAUGGGAUUCGCUAGGAGGUGGGGGAACGGCGCACCUAGGCGACGCUCCCUAGCUGGUCUGAGAGGAUGACCAGCCACACUGGAACUGAGACACGGUCCAGACCCCUACGGGAGGCAGCAGUGGGGAAUAUUGCACAAUGGGCGCAAGCCUGAUGCAGCCAUGCCGCGUGUAUGAAGAAGGCCUUCGGGUUGUAAAGUACUUUCAGCGAGGAGGCGUUACUCGCAGAAGAAGCACCGGCUAACUCCGUGCCAGCAGCCGCGGUAAUUC
rnacentral:rRNA from 1 species